rnacentral:RNase_P_RNA from 1 species
CCUGCAGGCUGAGCAGUCGCGGAGGUAUCGCCUUCGAGGAAAGUCCGGACAUCACAGGGCAAGGUGGUCGGUAACGCCGACCCGGGGAAACCCGCGGGAAAGUGCCACAGAAAUGACACCGCCUAAGUCCGGGGCCGCUGCAGCGUCCCGGACCGGUAAGGGUGAAAUGGUGCGGUAAGAGCGCACCGGCGUCGCGGCGACGCGGCGGCCAGGUAAACCCCACCUGAUGCAAGGCCGAGCAGAACCGUUUGCAGGUUGCCCGCCAAGGUUCGGGUAGGCCGCUCAGAUGGAUGACUGCUCUCGACAAGAUCCGGCUUAUAGG